rnacentral:rRNA from 1 species
CCUACGGGAGGCAGCAGUGAGGAAUAUUGGUCAAUGGGCGCGAGCCUGACCCAGCCAAGUAGCGUGAAGGAUGACUGCCCUACGGGUUGUAAACUUCUUUUAUAAAGGAAUAAAGUGAGGCACGUGUGCCGUUUUGUAUGUACUUUAUGAAUAAGGAUCGGCUAACUCCGUUCCAGCAGCCGCGGUAAUACGGAGGAUCCGAGCGUUAUCCGGAUUUAUUGGGUUUAACGGGAGCGUAGAUGGGUUGUUAAGUCAGAGGUGAAAGUCUGCGGCUCAACAUGAAAACUGCAAUUGAUACUGGCAGCCUUGAGUAUAGUUGAGGUAGGCGGAAUUCGUGGUGUAGCGGUGAAAUGCUUAGAUAUCACGAAGAACACCGAUUGCGAAGGCAGCUUACUAAA